UCAUUCUUAGAUAUACUGUAUAUGAGUAUACAUAUACAGUAUGUGCAUGUAUGCUUGUGUGUGUGUCUGUGCAUAAAAGUUUGGGGGAUUUGUCAAAAUUUAAGUAUGGCUACUCUUUCUGCUAAAUUUGAACAUAUUGCUUAAGUAGACACCAAAUUUGGAAUAUCUCUUCCACUUCUAAGGAUCAAUUUUUUUGUGCCCUAUAUUUUAUUCAUUUUUUUAAGAGUUACCGCAAGUCUUCAAAACCGUAAGUAAAACAAAGUCUGUUGUACUGAAAUACAAUUUGGAACAAGGGGCUUCUGCUUGCAGCUUCCAUUUCUAUAGUGACCACACAAUAAUCAGUAUCAUCAAAUGCUACCAUUUUAGCUCAGAAAUGUGGUCUCUUUGUGUCUUAUUUCCCAAGUUUUUAAAAGCAGAUAAUCAGGAAUUUUUAUACUGUUUUAGUUUUGUCGCCACUAUUAUAGACUCUGGAUUUUCACACAGUAAGUGCUGAAGCCAAUGAGAUUAAGUAUUCACAGGGGGUGCAUGUGGGGCCCACAGCCUGGCAUGAAAAUUGAUUUCUAGUACACAAAUAAUUCAUUCUUUAUGACACCUCAGAAAGUGGUGUGAAUCUCGUUUCUAGGCAUUAGGUAUCAGGAUUUGUAACUCAAACCUUUUAAGACUUCUGAACAAAUAUUACUGGCAAAAAGCAAGGUGAGGAGGUGGAGAUGGGGAAUAAGAACUUGAAAAUCAAGUUCAAUUAAGAAUGAAACUAUAGAAGUACCUGGACUUUAGACUCUUAAAAAAAAAAAA
ensembl:lncRNA novel transcript, sense intronic to CDH7